rnacentral:rRNA from 1 species
UACGUAGGGGGCAAGCGUUGUCCGGAAUCAUUGGGCGUAAAGAGCGUGUAGGCGGCUUGGCAAGUCUGGUGUGAAAUCUUGCGGCUCAACCGCAAGCGGUCACUGGAAACUGCCUCGCUAGAGUCCGGAAGAGGAGAGCGGAAUUCCUGGUGUAGCGGUGGAAUGCGCAGAUAUCAGGAAGAGCACCCGUGGCGAAGGCGGCUCUCUGGGACGUUACUGACGCUGAGACGCGAAAGCGUGGGGAGCAAACAGG